AGUCGAGGGGUAUAGGUUUUCGGACCUAGAGACCGGCGCACGGGUGCGUAACGCGUAUGCAAUCUACCUUUUACAGAGGGAUAGCCCAGAGAAAUUUGGAUUAAUACCUCAUAGUAUUAUUGAAUGGCAUCAUUUAAUAAUUAAAGUCACAACGGUAAAAGAUGAGCAUGCGUCCCAUUAGCUAGUUGGUAAGGUAACGGCUUACCAAGGCAACGAUGGGUAGGGGUCCUGAGAGGGAGAUCCCCCACACUGGUACUGAGACACGGACCAGACUCCUACGGGAGGCAGCAGUGAGGAAUAUUGGUCAAUGGGCGCAAGCCUGAACCAGCCAUGCCGCGUGCAGGAUGACGGUCCUAUGGAUUGUAAACUGCUUUUGUACAGGAAGAAACAGUUCUACGUGUAGAACCUUGACGGUACUGUAAGAAUAAGGAUCGGCUAACUCCGUGCCAGCAGCCGCGGUAAUACGGAGGAUCCAAGCGUUAUCCGGAAUCAUUGGGUUUAAAGGGUCCGUAGGCGGUUUUGUAAGUCAGUGGUGAAAGCCCAUCGCUCAACGGUGGAACGGCCAUUGAUACUGUAAGACUUGAAUUAUUGGGAAGCAACUAGAAUAUGUAGUGUAGCGGUGAAAUGCUUAGAGAUUACAUGGAAUACCAAUUGCGAAGGCAGGUUGCUACCAAUAUAUUGACGCUGAUGGACGAAAGCGUGGGGAGCGAACAGGAUUAGAUACCCUGGUAGUCCACGCCGUANACGAUGGAUACUAGCUGUUCGGAGCAAUCUGAGUGGCUAAGCGAAAGUGAUAAGUAUCCCACCUGGGGAGUACGUUCGCAAGAAUGAAACUCAAGGAAUUUGACGGGGCCCGCACAAGCGGUGGAGCAUGUGGU
rnacentral:rRNA from 1 species